AGUGAACGCUGGCGGUAGGCCUAACACAUGCAAGUCGAACGGCAGCACAGUAAGAGCUUGCUCUUACGGGUGGCGAGUGGCGGACGGGUGAGGAAUACAUCGGAAUCUACUUUUUCGUGGGGGAUAACGUAGGGAAACUUACGCUAAUACCGCAUACGACCUACGGGUGAAAGCAGGGGAUCUUCGGACCUUGCGCGAUUGAAUGAGCCGAUGUCGGAUUAGCUAGUUGGCGGGGUAAAGGCCCACCAAGGCGACGAUCCGUAGCUGGUCUGAGCGGAUGAUCAGCCACACUAGAACUGAGACACGGUCCAGACUCCUACGGGAGGCAGCAGUGGGGAAUAUUGGACAAUGGGCGCAAGCCUGAUCCAGCCAUACCGCGUGGGUGAAGAAGGCCUUCGGGUUGUAAAGCCCUUUUGUUGGGAAAGAAAAGCAGCAGGUUAAUACCCCGCUGUUCUGACGGUACCCAAAGAAUAAGCACCGGCUAACUUCGUG
rnacentral:rRNA from 1 species